rnacentral:rRNA from 1 species
UACAGAGGUCUCAAGCGUUGUUCGGAUUCAUUGGGCGUAAAGGGCGCGUAGGUGGCGGGGUUAGUCAGGUGUGAAAUCUCGGGGCUCAACCCCGAAACUGCACUUGAUACUGCCUUGCUAGAGUACUGGAGAGGAGAUUGGAAUUUACGGUGUAGCAGUGAAAUGCGUAGAUAUCGUAAGGAAGACCAGUGGCGAAGGCGAAUCUCUGGACAGUUACUGACGCUGAGGCUCGAAGGCCAGGGGAGCAAACGGG